UACGGGGGGAGCAAGCGUUGUUCGGAUUUACUGGGCGUAAAGGGCGCGUAGGCGGCCACCGCAAGUCAGUUGUGAAAUCUCCGAGCUUAACUCGGAAAGGUCAACUGAUACUGCGGGGCUAGAGUGCGGAAGGGGCAACUGGAAUUCUUGGUGUAGCGGUGAAAUGCGCAGAUAUUGGGAGGAACACCAGCGGCGAAGACGGCACUCUGGGCUGGUACUGACGCUGAGGAGCGAAAGCGUGGGUAGCGAACAGG
rnacentral:rRNA from 1 species